UCAAACAAGUUCAGUUGUUAUUUUGUGCUUGAGGAUCUGUGAAUCCAUGAUGACAAAGUGACUUUCUUCAAGACUAGAAUAAUGUUUAUUACUAAGAGCAGAUAAAGACUCAGAAAAAUAUCACAGGACAUGAUGGCUGGCAGAGCACAAUAAUACUAAAAAGCAGAAAAUUCAUACAAAGCUACAAUUGCAAACUGGAUUGGUGGCAUCCUCACUCUUGAUUUGGUGGACUCAUUUACUUGGACAAAUUUGGGAAGCUACAGGAAUCCAUUGUCUGAUCUUCAUCCUCCUGCCUGUGUAUUUUGAGAAGACCUGUACCACAGGGUAUGACAAGAAAGAAGGAUAAGAAAUUCUCGGAUACUCUCCCUGCUUUUUGCUGAUUCUAAUUUGGGCUACAUUUCAUCCUGGCAAUUCAGGAAGAAAAACUGGAAGCUAUUCCUGGCUCAGCUGUCAAACAGACAGCAAAUGAAGGUUAUCUCAGAUGUGUCUCCUCUACUCCUGAGAGAACAUGGUGCGACUUAACAUUUCUUCAGUAACAUCAUUACU
rnacentral:lncRNA from 1 species